rnacentral:rRNA from 1 species
UACAGAGGGGGCAAGCGUUGUUCGGAAUUACUGGGCGUAAAGGGCGCGUAGGCGGCCCGUCAAGUCCCGUGUGAAAGCCCCCGGCUCAACCGGGGAACGGCGCGGGAAACUAGCAGGCUUGAGUUCGGGAGAGGGAAGCGGAAUUCCGGGUGUAGCGGUGAAAUGCGCAGAUAUCCGGAGGAACACCGGUGGCGAAGGCGGCUACCUGGACCAGCACUGACACUGAGGCACGAAAGCGAGGGGAGCAAACAGG